rnacentral:tRNA from 1 species
UGGGGAUUAGCCAAGUCGGUAAGGCAGCGGACUUUGACUCCGUCAUUCACAGGUUCGAGUCCUGUAUCCCCAGCCA